UGGGGAAUUUUGGACAAUGGGGGCAACCCUGAUCCAGCAAUGCCGCGUGAGUGAAGAAGGCCUUCGGGUUGUAAAGCUCUUUUGUCAGGGAAGAAACGGUGAGGGCUAAUAUCCUUUGCUAAUGACGGUACCUGAAGAAUAAGCACCGGCUAACUACGUGCCAGCAGCCGCGGUAAUACGUAGGGUGCAAGCGUUAAUCGGAAUUACUGGGCGUAAAGCGUGCGCAGGCGGUUAUGUAAGUCAGAUGUGAAAUCCCCGGGCUCAACCUGGGAAUGGCAUUUGAGACUGCAUGGCUAGAGUGUGUCAGAGGGGGGUAGAAUUCCACGUGUAGCGGUGAAAUGCGUAGAGAUGUGGAGGAAUACCGAUGGCGAAGGCAGCCCCCUGGGAUAACACUGACGCUCAUGCACGAAAGCGUGGGGAGCAAACAGG
rnacentral:rRNA from 1 species